GGCCCCAUAGUUCAAGGGAUAGAAUAGCGGUUUCCUAAACCGUAGAUGUGGGUUCGAUUCCCGCUGGGGCUA
rnacentral:tRNA from 1 species